AUGCCGCGGCCCGCGUGCGCCCGCUCCGGGGACUGCGCCUGCGCGGCCGGCCCUCACGGAGCCCGGGGAAGGUUGCGCCUGCGCAGUCGGCCCAACCCAGCCCUGGGGGCGGGGCGACGCCUGUGGAAUCGCCCCUUCAGCGGCGCCUCGGCACCUAGAGCCGCCCGUCCGGCCGGGCCCCGGGGAGAGGCGGGCGUGCGGGCAUUGCGCCUGCGCGCGCCGGCCCCGCCCCCGGCCCCGCCCCGGCCGCGCGGGGCCCUGGGAGGGGUGCAGCGUCCGGCGGCUGCGGCGGCGGCGCGGGAGGGGCCGGGGGCGGACAAAGCCGUGGCCGAUGAAUGGGGCGCGUCCGCCUGCGCGGCCGUGGGGUCCCCGCGAGCAUAUUCGACAGGAGGCCCUGGUUCCUGCGUCCUGCGUAUCCUGGCUUGCGCCUGCUCACCCCAGACUCCGCUCCUCCCGCCCCCGCAGCCACAAGUCUGGCCUCUUGGUGACUGUUUGUGUCUCACAGGCCCACGUGUGUCACCGCAUUCGUAGCCGCACCCCCUCCUGCAUGCGUGUCUUCUGUGCACCACCCCCAGCCCCUCGGACCUCCAGCACUCCAGGAGCAGCAGCCUGUUUGCCCUGUGUGCCCCGGACACGUUUCUCAGCCUCUCUGUGCCCCUGCCCUUUGAUGUAGAAGGAGACGCAUCACACUGAACCUUCCUUGAAAGACUGUCACGUGGCUUAAGUGAGCCCGCGCAGGCUGAGCAGGUAAGAGAGGCCCGCAGGAAGCGGUCCACGCCAUCACCCCAGGCUCUGGCCCCAGGAGUCUUCGGAGAGCCUCAGCGUCAACCGAGAAUGGGACUUUUGCCUCGAAGGGAGACGAGCUGGUUCCUCGCAGACCUGAGAGGAGCGGGCGAGGUCGUCCAGGCCGGAGGCGCUGUCCGGGCCGGCUGGGUGGGAGGGAGCUCAGGGCAGCCGAGCUUGCUCUGCGGCCUUCCUAGGAGAGCGCCUUUCCAUGGAGGCCUCAAGACCUCUCGCACAGACGCCCGUGGCUCGCCCUUCUGCCUCGCGAGGGUCCUCGUCAGGAGUCGGAGCAGAGACGCUACUAAAUGCGUUUCUUCACCCAGUGGCUGUAUGGUUUUCCUCCUUGCUUUCUGUCGACCUGGUGCAUUCUGUUGGUUGAUUUUUUAAUGUUAAACCAAACCUUCUGACACAGCCCGCUUACUCGUGGAACAGUAUCUUCAACCUAGUGCUGAAUUUGACUUGUUACAUUUUUCAGAACUUGCCACGUUUUCUUAAGGUUGUUCUGUGAUCGUAGGGACGUGACUCUGACUCUUUUCCUGUUAUGUCUUUGUGGGUCUUGGUGUCAUGGUGGUUGAACCUUGUUAAAAGACUUGGGGAAUGUUUCAUCUUUUAUUUUCUAGAAGAGUGUGUUUCACCAGUAAUUUGGUUUUUUCUCCAAAGUUUGGUGAAAUUCACGCACGGAACCAUCUGGACCUGGAAUUUUAAGAGAAGGGACUAGGCAGAGGGCUGUUCAGGCUGCAGUGUGAGCAGGCGGCAUGACCGCUACGCGACAGCGACGCGUCUCUCUAGUGAGUCUCCGUCGUGCGUGUCUUUCGGGACUUACCUGUUUCACCUGAGCUGCUGAAUUUAUCACCGUGAAGUCGCUCGGCCGCCUGCUUGCCGCCUUUGUGUGUGGGCUCUUUGGUGGCAAUGCCCACUUUCAUUCUUGCUGUUGGUAGUUCCUGUCUUUUCCAUUUUUUUCUCUUACUAAUCAGUGUAGAAGUUUGCCAAUUUUUUUGAUCUGUCCAAAAAGCCAGUGUUCGGUUUCAUUGAUUUCCACCGCCACCCCCUCCCCCGCCUCUUCCCCGCUCCCCCUCAAUUUAAUUGAUUUCAAAUCUUUUCUCGUUUUCUUCACUCUGUUUGCUUCAGGAUUAAAUUGGCUGUACUUUUCCUUGGGACUUUUUUCUUUAACCCCUUGGCUUCAUACAUGUCUAAGUGUUACUUACUUAAAGAUACUUGGGAUUUUUCCAGAUACCGUUCUGAUGUUGAUUUCUCGUUCAGUUCCCUUUUCCGAGGCCAUUCUUUGAUUUCAGUUCUUGUGAGUGUAUUGCAAUUCGCUUUAUUGUCCAGAGAAGAGUCUGUCUUGAUGAACAGUCUGUACCCACCUUGAGGCCACACGCAUUCCACUUGUUUGCACUAUUCCAUAAAUGUCAUUGAGGCCAGGUUUGAUGGUAACGUUUUCAGCUCUUCUGUUACCUUUACUGGUCUUCUGUCCGCUUGUCCCGUUAACUGUGAGUAGGGACGUGGGAGCCCAGCUGCCUCCGGCCCGCGGGGUCUGCUCCCUGUCUGUGGAAGGUCCCCUGUGGUCCGCUGUGUUCGUGCGCCCUCGCCACGCAGUGCCGUGGCCCCGCCGGCGUGCCCGGGUUGGGGUUAGCACGCUGCACCUUCCUGUCUUUUUGCUUUGAGCCUCUCUCUCUCUUCACGUGUAACGUGUUUUUGUAGGCGGCGUGGAGUUAGCCUUCCUUUCGCCCUAGUCUGCCAGUCCCUGCGCUUCCUGGGCCGCAGCCAUAUGGCCUGUGAGCAGAGGCGCUCUCCGUGUCCCCCUCCCUGGCUCUGUGCACAGAGUGCUUCUCGUCUGGCCGCCUGCGAGUGCCCUGGUGCCCCACGUUGGCUGUUGUCCGGCACCAGCUGGCUGUCGUUCCGUCCGCUCCUGACGUUGCCGCCUGGAGUCGUGUUCAGAGCCAUGGGGUCCGGGCGGCCCAGAAGCCUGCUCCCACUCACAGCAGCCCGGCUGUCAUCUGUGUCUCUGACUGAGAGGCUUCAAAGCCAAGGUUCCCGCAAUAAAGCGCCGGGGCGGCUCCUACA
ensembl:lncRNA